rnacentral:rRNA from 1 species
GGAGGGUGCAAGCGUUGUCCGGAUUUAUUGGGUUUAAAGGGUGCGUAGGCGGCCCGUUAAGUCAGUGGUGAAAGCCUCCAGCUCAACUGGAGAACUGCCAUUGAUACUGACGGGCUUGAGUACAGACGAGGUUGGCGGAAUUGAUUGUGUAGCGGUGAAAUGCAUAGAUACAAUCAAGAACUCCGAUUGCGUAGGCAGCUAACUAGGCUGUAACUGACGCUGAGGCACGAAAGCGUGGGGAGCGAACAGGAUUAGAUACCCUGGUAGUCCACGCCGUAAACGAUGAUUACUCGAUGUUGGCGAUAAACUGUCAGCGUCUUAGCGAAAGCGUUAAGUAAUCCACCUGGGGAGUACGCCCGCAAGGGUG